CCCCUUUGCCUUCACAGAUUAAUAGCAAUUUAUGGGUUCAGCAUUGCACUUCAUCCUGCUUCUCUCAGUAGGACUGUGGACUCUCACUGUGGGGGAAUAUCGUCAGUUUUAUGUGGUGAACACAACACUGA